AUUGAACGCUGGCGGCAGGCUUAAUACAUGCAAGUCGAGGGGCAGCAUGAUUGUAGCAAUACAAUUGAUGGCGACCGGCAAACGGGUGCGGAACACGUACACAACCUUCCAAUAAGUGGGGAAUAGCCCAGAGAAAUUUGGAUUAAUACCCCGUAACAUAACGAUGUGGCAUCACAUUGUUAUUAUAGAUUUUUCGCUUAUUGAUGGGUGUGCGGCUGAUUAGAUAGUUGGCGGGGUAACGGCCCACCAAGUCUACGAUCAGUAGCUGAUGUGAGAGCAGGAUCAGCCUAACGGGCACUGAGACACGGGCCCGACUCCUACGGGAGGCAGCAGUAAGGAAUAUUGGACAAUGGACGCAAGUCUGAUCCAGCCAUGCCGCGUGAAGGAUUAAGGUCCUCUGGAUUGUAAACUUCUUUUAUAAGGGACGAAAAAAGGCUUUUCUAAGUCGUCUGACGGUACCUUAUGAAUAAGCACCGGCUAACUCCGUGCCAGCAGCCGCAGUAACAC
rnacentral:rRNA from 1 species